rnacentral:lncRNA from 1 species
AAAUAAAAUUCAUAUAUACUUUAAAUAUCUCAAAAUCUAAAAUAAAAAUAAUAUAUAACAUAUAAAUUUGAAUAAUGUAUGCCAAAAUACCUAAACUUAAAAUAAAAUUUGGUUUACCUUAAAUAUUUGGAUAUGAAAUAAAUAGAUAUUUUAAGUAAUUUUGGUAUUUUGAGUAUCCUUUAACUAUUUUAAAUAUGUACUUUUAACUAUUUAUAUAUAUUUUUAAGUAUUUUGGACAACUUAAAAACAUCUUAUAUAUUUUGUAUAUUCUUUAAAUAUUAAAUUUAAAAAUAAUUAAUAUAUUGAAGUAUAUAAAUAUGGUUCGAAUAUAUUCGGAUACCCGAAAUAGUUUGUUUCGGAUCCGGUUCCAUUCUG